rnacentral:rRNA from 1 species
AUACGAACCGGACAAACGUUAUUCGGAAUUAUUGGGCUUAAAGGGUGCGUAGGCGGCGCGGUAAGUGAGGUGUGAAAGCCCACGGCUCAACCGUGGAAUUGCGCUUCAUACUGCCGUGCUAGAGGGAGACAGAGGUAAGCGGAACUGAUGGUGGAGCGGUGAAAUGCGUUGAUAUUAUCAGGAACACCGGUGGCGAAAGCGGCUUACUGGGUCUCUUCUGACGCUGAGACACGAAAGCUAGGGUAGCGAACGGGAUUAGAAACCCCUGUAGUCC